AGAGUUUGAUCCUGGCUCAGAACGAACGCUGGCGGCGUGCUUAACACAUGCAAGUCGAACGUGAUUGGAAGCUUGCUUCCAUGAAAGUGGCGCACGGGUGAGUAACGCGUGGAUAACCUGCCCUGGUAUCCGGAAUAACAUCUCGAAAGGGGUGCUAAUACCGGAUAAGCCUACGGAGCCCUCGGUCUCUGCAGGAAAAGGUGGCCUCUAUUUAUAAGCUACCGUAUCAGGAUGGGUCCGCGUACCAUUAGCUAGUUGGUGGGGUAAUGGCCUACCAAGGCGACGAUGGUUAGCUGGUCUGAGAGGAUGAUCAGCCACACUGGAACUGAGACACGGUCCAGACUCCUACGGGAGGCAGCAGUGGGGAAUUUUGCGCAAUGGGGGAAACCCUGACGCAGCAACGCCGCGUGAGUGAUGAAGGCUUUCGGGUCGUAAAGCUCUGUCAGAGGGGAAGAAAUGRRAWCGGUUAAUAYCCRWUUUUCUUGACGGUACCCUCAAAGGAAGCACSGGCUAACUCCGUGCCAGCAGCCGCGGUAAUAC
rnacentral:rRNA from 2 species